rnacentral:rRNA from 1 species
GACGAACGCUGGCGGCGUGCUUAACACAUGCAAGUCGAACGGUGACCUCGAGAGCUUGCUCUCGGGUGAUCAGUGGCGAACGGGUGAGUAACACGUGAGUAACCUGCCCCAGACUCUGGAAUAACCCCGGGAAACCGGAGCUAAUACCGGAUACGAGACGGAGUCGCAUGGCUACCGUCUGGAAAGUUUUUCGGUCUGGGAUGGACUCGCGGCCUAUCAGCUUGUUGGUGAGGUAACGGCUCACCAAGGCGACGACGGGUAGCCGGCCUGAGACGGCGACCGGCCACACUGGGACUGAGACACGGCCCAGACCCCUACGGGAGGCAGCAGUGGGGAAUAUUGCACAAUGGGCGCAAGCCUGAUGCAGCAACGCCGCGUGCGGGAUGACGGCCUUCGGGUUGUAAACCGCUUUUAGUAAGGAAGAAGGGGAGCUUGCUCCUUGACGGUACUUGCAGAAAAAGGACCGGCUAACUACGUGCCAGCCGCCGCGGUAACAC